UACAGAGGUCUCAAGCGUUUGUUCGGAUUCAUUGGGCGUAAAGGGUGCGUAGGCGGCCACCGCAAGUCGACUGUGAAAUCUCCGGGCUUAACCCGGAAAGGUCAGCCGAUACUGCGGGGCUAGAGUGCAGAAGGGGCAACUGGAAUUCUCGGUGUAGCGAUGAAAUGCGUAGAUAUCGAGAGGAACACCUGCGGCGAAGGCGGGUUGCUGGGCUGACACUGACGCUGAUGCGCGAAAGCUAGGGGAGCGAACGGG
rnacentral:rRNA from 1 species